rnacentral:lncRNA from 1 species
AUUCUCUCCUUUAAAAAAUUAAGGAAUACUUUGAAAGAAAGAAACUUAAGUCAAAAAUGAAGCUCCUGGAAGUAUCGUCUCCUAAAAGUUCAGCAGUCAGUUUGGAUCUUCUUAAUCUAUAUGUGGUUAACCAGAUGUCAACCAAAAAAGAAAACACUGGUUACAAAAGCAAGUUUUGGAAAGCAGAAGACAACAUCUCUCAGAAAAAGUAAAACACCAGCAUAAGCUCAUUCCACAAGUAAUGGAAUUAGGCUAUGUUGAUUCUAGUAUGGAAAAUGAAGACGACUUGGCAAGAGUUUUUAGUGCUUGUCCAUUGCCCUCCUCUGGUUUUCAGUUCUCUAACUGUACACAGCUUUCAGAAGAAAAUUUCAACACAAAACUAAUGGGCAAUGUUUGGGAACAGAUCUAUGAAAAAAAGCUGCAAAACCAGCCAGGUAACAGCUUUGAUCGAGACCCUUGGAAUACAAACCCUCCAAGCCAGUGUAUUUUGAGGAAGUCUGAUACAGUGCCUCAGGAGCUGUUCAAGCCAUUUGAUAACUCAUUGCCUACCCCCAGGCCAGACUACAUGAAUUCUGCCAGGAAAAAUCCAGUGAUAAUAGCCAGUAAUGAAUCAGAAAACUAUGAAGGAAUAAAAGAACCAAUAUUUGAUGUUGUGAAAGAAACUGCAGGAUUGAAAGAUGGAAGUGGUUGUUCCUUUCUGGCACUAUUUGAAGAAGAGAGUCAACCAAUCCAUAAUAAUUCUUCCACCAAGCAUUUUAAUUUUUUUUCUAACCAAAGGAAUAAUGACCUUUUUUUCACUGUUCCUGAUGUUCGAAAUCAAAUUACCAACAGAAAUUAUUCUUGCAACACUAGAAGGGUUUAUCCUGGAAUCAAUGCAAAAGAAGAUUCUGUAGACAGACACCUUGAAGGCAUUUUCACAGCUCCAGAACAGGUUUUCCUUAAAAGUAAUAAUGUGUCAAGUACAAGCUACAAGGAAACAAGUGCACUUCAUAAAACACACCGGCAGAACUGUCAUGAGGGACAGCACUACUUCGUGCCCUGUGAACAGAGAGAAAGAAGAGCAAACCUUGAAAAAAUUGAGACAUUUGCUUAUUACCAUGAUCAGCAGAAUAUCUUAAAGGAGAAUGUGCAGAAUUAUUCAAGAAAAAAAAGUGACGACAAGUCUGUGAAGGAAACAUCCUGGAACCAGAACCAUGUCUUUGUAUUUGAAGAGUUCACAACAGCACAAGAGAAAGGGUAUAAGUUUGGACUGAGUUCAUAUCUUCAAGAGAUGGAUGUGGACUCACCACUCAGCAGCCAGUCUUACAGUUACUCUCCAAGGCAGACUGAGAGCUGUUUGAGCUCUAGUCCUGACACAGUGAGUAAAUCCUUGUGGGCUGGCAGG